rnacentral:rRNA from 1 species
UGAGGAAUAUUGGUCAAUGGGCGGGAGCCUGAACCAGCCAAGCCGCGUGAAGGACUAAGGCCCUAUGGGUCGUAAACUUCUUUUGUCAGGGAACAAAAGCGGGGACGUGUCCCCGUCUGCGUGUACCUGAAGAAAAAGCAUCGGCUAACUCCGUGCCAGCAGCCGCGGUAAUACGGAGGAUGCGAGCGUUAUCCGGAUUUAUUGGGUUUAAAGGGUGCGUAGGCGGUCUUGUAAGUCAGCGGUAAAAGCCCGGGGCUCAACCCCGGCGAGCCGUUGAAACUGCGGGACUAGAGACGGCGAGAAGUAGGCGGAAUGCGCAGUGUAGCGGUGAAAUGCUUAGAUAUUGCGCAGAACUCCGAUUGCGAAGGCAGCCUACCGGCGCCGGACUGACGCUGAGGCACGAAAGCGUGGGUAUCGAACAGG